GACGAACGCUGGCGGCGUGGAUUAGGCAUGCAAGUCGAACGGUAUCAUCCUUUCGGGGGUGAGAGAGUGGCGAACUGGUGAGUAACACGUAGGUUAUCUACCCUCAAGACGGGGACAACCCAGGGAAACUUGGGCUAAUACCGGAUGUGAGCAACUUUUAGUUGUUUGAAAGGUGGCGUAAGCUGUCGCUUGGGGAUGAGCCUGCGUCCUAUUAGUUAGUUGGUGAGGUAACGGCUCACCUAGGCAAUGAUAGGUAGGCGGCCUUAACGGGUGGUCGCCCACACUGGGAUUGAGAUACGGCCCAGACUCCUACGGGAGGCAGCAGUCGAGAAUAGUCUACAAUGGUCGGAAGACUGAUAGUGCGACGCCGCGUGAACGAUGAAUCCCUUCGGGGUGUAAAGUUCUUUUAUAUGUGAGCAGUGCUUCUUAUAUUAACAGUAUGGGGAGAGAGAUAUUAGCAUAUGAAUAAGCAACGGCUAACUCCGUAGCCAGCAGCCGCGGUAAUA
rnacentral:rRNA from 1 species